GACGAACGCUGGCGGCGUGCCUAAUACAUGCAAGUCGAACGCAGUGGGGACGGGUGAGUAACACGUGGGUAACCUCCCAUCAGAGGGGAUAACACUUGGAAACAGGUGCUAAACCGAUACUGAUGGAUGAACCAGCGGUGCAUUAGCUAGUUGGUGGGGUAACGGCUUACCAAGGCCACGAUGCAGAGCCGAGCUGAGAGGGGGAUCAGCCACACGGGGACUGAGACACGGCCCAUACUCCUACGGUAGGCAGCAGUAGGGAAUCUUCGGCAAUGGGCGAAAGUCUGACCGAGCAACGCCGCGUGAGUGAAGAAGGUUUUCGGAUCGUAAAACUCUGUUGUUAGAGAAGCGUUAUCUAACCAGAAAGCAACGGCUAACUACGUGCCAGCAGCCGCGGUAAUUC
rnacentral:rRNA from 1 species